ensembl:lncRNA
UUGGCCACCGGGAUGUUCCAGUGCAGCCUGUGCUGACACGGGGAUGAACCUCUGCUUGAGGACCUGGUUGCCUCUAUUUCUGAGCUCACAUCAGGGACUUCCUCUCCUUGAAGCUCUCUCUCGUACACUGGCCCUCCCUGGAAGGGUGUGUGGACCAAGCUGUUGAGUCCUCGAAGGCAAAACCUUUAAUCACUGAUGCUUUGAGGUGAAUCAACAAAUUGGCUCAGCAAGUACUUCUUGGGGACCAGUAUUAAGUGAGUUAAUACGUGCAAAGUUGCUUGAAGAGUGCAUGGCACGUGAGAGCGAUACUUCUGGCCACACUCUGGGCCAGGUGGGUGAAGGGUGUUGGGGAAGCUGAGAUGAUGGGCACAGACACUAUCCUCAAAGACCUCUCAGUGGGGAGGGGGCAUUGGUAUGCACAGUCUCAGUCCAGGUGGGAAGUGUGGUGUUCAAAGUGGCCUGGUCCUGGGCUGGGGGAGCCCCUCAGGCUGAGGGCAGCUCUUGCUUGCUGGCUGACUUCCUAGGACACUUUCAUUAUUUCCUGUUAGAAUGGCCUAAGAACUGAGAUGCUCUGCAGGAGUUAAUCCCACAGCUCACAUUGGCCUCUAUCCAGGAAGUGAACUUGGGGAAGUUUUCUCCCUCUGCCUUCCCCAAGGCAGUCACAUUGUUCCUGGAAAGAGGUUGGCGGGAGAGGCUUUGUAAGUCCCCGGGACUCCACGUGGGUGGUGGGGGACCCCAGGCCAGCCUCCUUUCACAGGCUGGUCACCUAGGGGCUUGUCACUCCUGGACAGGCUAGUCAGCAGCUGUCUUUCUGCCAAGGGCCACAGGUAACCUCUGGAGUGGUGUGUUGGGUUGGCACCAGACAUUGGAGCAAUUAAGAAAUUGCAAGGUUUGCAUCAGACACAGAGAAAUCAGCCUUUUCCCCAGUCCAAGAGGGAAGCCUUAUAUUAGGAAUUCAGGGUCCUCUUGCCUUGAAACCAGUGAUGUUCAAAGUGUGGUCCACAGAGUGCUGGUCUGCAAACUGUUAAUGGUCCACAAAGAAGGAAGGAGCUCGCAUUAGUGUAUAAAGCAAAUACAACACUAAGCACAGGUUUAAUGCAGCUGAUCAUCUCUCUCUCUAUAAGAUUCUGUGGUAGGACUUUCUCAAUGAAGGAAGCAGUGCCUGGUUUUAGAUUCUGGUGCAAGCUUGGAAUCUCACUACAGACAAACCCUCUGAGUCUCUCCUUGACACCAUCCAUUGUGAGACAGGACCUGCCACUGUGUCGCUUCAAGCCAAUAUCACCUGUUUCUUGGCCUCCAGGAGCCUCUCACUGGGUCUCCCUCCAUUCAGGUUUACCUUCCUGCAGUCUAAUGCAUCCUCCACCCUGGGAAAACAGAAUGAGUUUCCCCAGUGCAACCCUGGUCAUGCCACUUCCUGCUGAACACUUUCCCAUGGGUCUCUAUUGCUUAUAGAAUAGAGCCCAAGUUCCACCACGUGGUAAAAGGGGCCUGCACCCUCCAGCUCCUGUUGCCUCUCCUGCCUCCCUCUUACCAACUGUACUUUUGUCAUCUGGCCACAGAAUUUCUUUCAGUUCUCCAAACAUACCAAGUUUUCUCUCACUUCUAUGCCUUUGCCCAAGCUGUUGCUUCUGUCUGGAAUGCGGUUCUCCUGUCCUUUGGCCUGGCUCACUGUGAAGUCCUCUUCCUUCUUCAUCAGGGAAGUCAUCCGUGAGCCUUUCCUCAUCCAAGCGUCAGCAGACCACCUGGGUUUAUUAGGUUGGCCUCGGCUGUACGGCAGCGGCUGCUUACUGCUCCCAGACAUCCUUCCUUUCUUUCUGAUCAAUGGGAUCUCUCCAUUUGGCUAAGCUCAUGGCUACGCAGAAUAAAUAUCAUUCCCAAUGUCUCUUGCAGCCAGAUCUAGCCAUGUCACUAAAUUCUAGUCAAUGAGACAUAAACAGAAGAGCUUCUGGGAAGCGUUUUUUAAAGGAUGAGUGCAUUCUUCUUCUACCUCUCCUCUUCCUUCAUGACGGCUGGAAUGUAAACAUGAUGCCUGGAGCUUGGGCAGCCAUCUUUGAUCCAUCUGUUUCCUGAUGGUCACAAGAUGGCUUCAGUGGCUCCAGAUGACACAUCCUCCCACAGCAACAUCCCAGGUAGAUGGAUGAGGCUGGCUUGGAAAGGACAGACCCCCAAGGUUCUGUGAUGACCAGCAUCUCCUCCCUCAUCCAGAGUCCACAAUGAGGAUGAAAAAAACCCCACGAGAGGAAGACUCGCAGAACCCACACAGAAGCUUUGUGCCUGGGCUGCCUGGUGCUUGCAUCUCUCAUCUGGCCAGCAGCUUUGGUCCCAGCUGCGGCGCUCCUGGGGAUGCGUCAUAGGCCUUAAAGGGGUCGCUGCCUGUUUUUGGGGUGCCAUCCUGGCUGGGUGGUAUGGAUUUCCGCUGUAAACUCAGUCCAUCUGGGAGAAGCCCAGGUGCCAUGUUUUGAACAGCUCUGAAACUUAAAGCUCAGAAGGCUUUGAAAUGCAAAUAUUUUGAAGGAAACAUAAGGUAAACAGGAGUGCUUAUUUCCCCCUGAUGAAAACAAUAUGCUGUUUGCUCUGAAAUGUAAAUAGGACCUAGAUCGCUCUUAAAGAAAGCCAUGUCUCAUAUUUUUAGGUCCAGGAUAAUAGUAUUUCUAAAAAUACGUGUAUCCCACAGCCUUCCUACCCGCCUGAAUCCACACUCUCUUUUUGUCCCGGAUGCCCCUCAUUCCAGGCAUUGCUAUCUGCUCCUGUAACUGUUCUAAACCACCUCCCCUCCUCCCAAUCUGCAGCGCCACACUUCUCCUCCUCCACCCUCAUCUAAUUUUUCCAAUACUCUCUGAGAGCUUGGGAGUUCCUUUUGGAUAGAAUUGAGGGGAAAAAAAUUGUAGCCAAAGGCAUUUCACUGACUUGAAAGAGAUUUUAUGGUGCAUUGAGUUCUAAUCAACUUUAAUAAGUAUUUAAUGCAGGAAGAAGACUUUGCCCCCAGCCCCGAGGCCGGCCAUGCGUGCUCGCAGCCCCCUGUUGGCCAUGGGAGAAAGGACUGCUGUGGGGCCCCAUGGUUUGGAUGGGCAUGGCGAGUGACAGCUGCAGAGAAACGAAUAAUUAGCUAUUUCAACCCCUGAUAAUGAGUAGCUGUAUGAUCCUUCUUGGAACCAUUAGGAGCAUCUAUCUUAUUGAUGAUCCCACCAGACAGCCGUGGGCCCUGGUGCCCAGCUCCUCUCUGAUGGGUUCACACAUCUCAUCUGUGCACUGAAGGGCAGAGAUGGGAGGUAGUCAUUUCUCAUCCCUCUUAGUAGUGGGGCUGGGCUUUCUGGGCUGGCAGCACCCCUGUGGCUGACCUGGAAAGCCCCGCCCCCCCCCCCCAUGCCUCUGUACCAUUCAUAUUGAGCAGUCUUUCUCUGCCCAGCAAAGGAGAAGACUAAACACACCCUUUGUGUGUGCCCAUCCUGGGCCACAUGUGCCAGGAGGUGCUGUCACCUGCAGUGUCCUUUGUUCUUCCCUCCUGAUACUCACCUGGAAAGUGCUAUUGUCUUCGCAAUUGUAUAGAAACUCGCUAAGAUGGUUCAGAGCCUUAUCCGAGUUCACACAGCUAGUAAUGGCCAGCUCAAGGACUGGAAUGCCUGUCUUUUUGGUGGGUCUUCCUGCUGCCCCAUAUUGUCCUAUGAAUGAAUUCAAGGAAAUAGCAUCCCUUCAUGGCUGAGUUUUCUCAAAGUCAAUGCCCAAGCCCGGAAUUGCAGACUGACUCCAUUGGCCACAUCUCAUUCACAGAUAUGAAUCUGUUUGACUUGCACAUCUUAAUAAUUGGGAAAUGUCGCAUACAAUUCCAGAUUUACUGAAAAAUGGGAAGAAUUGGGCAUACUUGAAAUUUGUUGUCCCACAUGGCUAGAUCUCAGGGCACCUGCUCUUUUUAGGCAAUUUGCCACAGGCCUCACUACUCCCUUUUGUCCAUAUCUGGCAUGAUUUGUUCAUUUCUAUUACCUGUCUGUCCCCAUAAGUGUUUGAGUUUGAGUGAGUCAUUUACACCUAUGAUUUUCAAACCUUAUUUUACCAGCACAUCCCUUUUCUCAAACUAUAAAGCACAUGAUAGGGAAUAUCAUGGUUAAGGUUUGCUGGACUUGGGAUCCCACUCACGUGGACCCCACCUUCUACCCCAGUAGUCUUUUAAAGUUUGUGGAAACCCUAGGUCCCACAGGACACAGUUUGAAAAUGAUUUUCAUGAGAACACAUAAGUGGCAACAUCUCAAAGAUCCACGGAACUCAACAGAAGAUGCCCUAUCUGGACCCAACACCUUGGAUGUCAAGAACAGCAGCGUCUGAGAAGCCCUUAGAGACCAUCAGAGAAGCCUCGAGAGGACAACUGACUUGCUCAUGCUCACAUAGAAAAUGAAUGUCUGAGUCAGGGCUUAAACUUGCAGUUUGGAUCUGCUUGUCCUUCCUAAUUUUUUUUCUAGAAGAACCUUAAGUGGGAAGCUACUGAUGUGUGCCUAAACUUCUAACACCCUCAGCCUCAGCCUCGUGCCAGCACUCUAUCUUCCAUCCUGGACUCACAAACUUAUUGGAAAAUGAAGAAUAACUCCCACUCAUCAAGCAAAUAGAAUUUGUUGUUGUGGGUGGUAGCUCCUAAACUGUGGUUUGACCCAAAUUUGGAGCAUCUUUAAAAUGCGGAGCAUCUUCUUGGUAUAUUUACUUGACUGGUGGUAAUUUAAAAAUUACUUUUAUGUGAAACGUGUCUACAUAGACAUAUAAAACAGAAGAGAAUGAAACAUUCACCUGAGUCUUUAAAAUAAAACAUGAAGACUUGAAAGGGAUUUAGGGGUUAUAAAGUUGGCUUAGAUAACAUCUCCUCCUGCUCUGGGUCAGGGGUCGCAAACUUUUCCUGUAAAGGGUGAAAUAGUAAAUAUUUUAGGCUUAGCAGGCUAUACAGUCUCUGUUGCAACUACUCAGCUCUGCUAUAGUAACUUGAAAGCAGCCAUAGACAACAUGUAAAGUAGUGGGCAUUGCUGGCUG